UAACUGGAGGACCGAACCGACUAAUGUUGAAAAAUUAGCGGAUGACUUGUGGCUGGGGGUGAAAGGCCAAUCAAACCGGGAGAUAGCUGGUUCUCCCCGAAAGCUAUUUAGGUAGCGCCUCGUGAAUUCAUCUCCGGGGGUAGAGCACUGUUUCGGCAAGGGGGUCAUCCCGACUUACCAACCCGAUGCAAACUGCGAAUACCGGAGAAUGUUAUCACGGGAGACACACGGCGGGUGCUAACGUCCGUCGUGAAGAGGGAAACAACCCAGACCGCCAGCUAAGGUCCCAAAGUCAUGGUUAAGUGGGAAACGAUGUGGGAAGGCCCAGACAGCCAGGAUGUUGGCUUAGAAGCAGCCAUCAUUUAAAGAAAGCGUAAUAGCUCACUGGUCGAGUCGGCCUGCGCGGAAGAUGUAACGGGGCUAAACCAUGCAC
rnacentral:rRNA from 1 species